rnacentral:tRNA from 1 species
GGCUCCGUAGUUCAACUGGAUAGAAUUUCAGAUUCCGGAUCUGAAGAUAGGGGUUCGAGUCCCUUCGGAGCUACCA